GUCCUGUCUCAUGAUAACACUAUUUCACAGAGGACCUGGGCUGUGGCCCAGACACAGUAAACAGCAGGAGGCUGAGCUUGGAGGGUGGUGAAUGUGGCUGGCCUACGUCCUCCUGCUGCUCCUGGAGCUGCUGGUCUGCCUCUUCACCCUCCUGGGCCUGGCGAAGCAGAGCAAGUGGCUGGUGAUCGUGAUGACAGUCAUGAGUCUCCUGGUUCUCGUCCUGAGCUGGGGCUCCAUGGGCCUGGAGGCAGCCACGGCCGUGGGCCUCAGUGACUUCUGCUCCAAUCCAGACCCUUAUGUUCUGAACCUGACCCAGGAGGAGACAGGGCUCAGCUCAGACAUCCUGAGCUAUUAUCUCCUCUGCAACCGGGCCGUCUCCAACCCCUUCCAACAGAGGCUGACUCUGUCCCAGCGAGCUCUGGCCAACAUCCACUCCCAGCUGCUGGGCCUGGAGCGAGAAGCUGUGCCUCAGUUCCCUUCAGCGCAGAAGCCUCUGCUGUCCUUGGAGGAGACUCUGAAUGUGACAGAAGGAAAUUUCCACCAGUUGGUGGCACUGCUACACUGCCGCAGCCUGCACAAGGACUAUGGUGCAGCCCUGCGGGGCCUGUGCGAAGACGCCCUGGAAGGCCUGCUCUUCCUGCUACUCUUCUCCCUGCUGUCUGCAGGAGCGCUGGCCACUGCCCUCUGCAGCCUGCCCCGAGCCUGGGCCCUCUUCCCACCCAGUGACGACUACGAUGACACAGACGAUGACGACCCUUUCAACCCUCAGCAGGAAUCCAAGCGCUUUGUGCAGUGGCAGUCGUCUAUCUGAGCCCCUCCUCCCGGCUGGACUGGAGCCUGGCUCCCCUCUUCGUUCCUUCCCUGGCUGCCGGAGGAGACCCCACUAACCCAGCCUGCCUGGGCUCUGACCACUAACACUCUUGGCCAUGGACAGCCUGCACAGGACCGCCUCCCUGCUCUUGGCCACUGUGCUCCCAUUUCUGUCCUUGGCCUUGGGAGUAGCUGAGGGGGCAGACUAGGGAGUAGGGCUGGCAGGGGAGGGGGCAGACAGCCUCGCCUCGCACCCUUCAUCCCUGGCUGCCGGUCCCAUCCUUGGAGGGACUAAGCUGGGGGUGGGGGACAUGAGUCCCCCUGCUGCCCCUGCCACAUCCCAGUGGGCUCUGACCCCCUGAUCUCAACUCGUGGCACUAACUUGGAAAAGGGUUGAUUUAAAAUAAAAGGGAAGACUAUUUUACAAGCA
rnacentral:misc_RNA from 1 species